UCCCCCAGGCAUGCAGUGAGUGCUUUUGUCUUCACUGUAUAGGAGAGACUGAUUUCACACCAAAGUUAUGUACUGUUCCCUCUGGCUUUAAUUCCUCUCAUUCCAGUAAACCUGAAUCUCCUCUGUUUCUAGUCACAGUGGUACAAUUCAGUUGUGUGUGUGCUCUCUUACGGGUAUGUAAUUAGAGACUGGAAAAAGUGGAGCAGUUUUGAGCUGAUGGAUGGGAGUCCUCCUAGACUUGAAUCCUUUCACCCCAGAGAUCAGUCUUUCUGCCUUUACUGAGGAGACCUCACAGGAAAGCUUCUGUGUGGCAGUGCCCCAUGUGUCAUUUUUCUUCUUCCAGAGAAGAGCUUGUUUGUGGAAAGGUGUAUCCACAAGGACUAGUAAAACAUUCCCGGAUGUACCUGCUCCUUCAGUGAUUAGCGCCAGCACCAGGACAUCCUACAGCACCUCCAGCCGAAGUGUGCUGCCGAAGGUGGUUCAGCUGGUUACCGGCUCCUCCUUCCCUUGGAGUUAUCAGUCUGCUUUGACCUUUCUGUCACCUUUAUCAGCAGACACUUGGCUGCUUGCUGCUGACUCAGAAGCUGCUGUCUCAGCUGAGAAUACCCUGCUUUGUGAGUCAUGCACUGUCUUUACAGGCAAAUGGCUUAAAGGGCAUGGUUGAAAGUUGGCUCUUUCUGUGCUCCUUGAGCCUCGUGCUGCCAAGUGGAUUGGAAAGUGUAAGCAAGUGUUGAAUCAUGUAUAAUUAUCAUUCUGGGUUUCCUUCUAAGGCCACUUCAUAUAUCUACUAGUACAGAUCUGUGAUUGUAGUUCAUGUAUGUGGCUGAUGAAGAGGUGGGCAAGUCUUCCUUCCUGGCUGACCUUGUGAUGGGUACCGCUGAUGUGUCAGACAGUGAGUCAUCACAGUUUUUUUUGAUUUCAUGAGGUUAGGCUGAAUUUUCCCAAGUCCUCCAAGUGGCCAUAGCUGCUUCCUUGAGUGGCUGACUUGGGAGAAAUAUCAAGAUCCAUAAGCAGGCAUCGCAGAUGAGUACAUGCCUGCCUAUUCCGUGUGUUAACAUCUCAGUUCUACUGCUCAUCAGCGGUCAAAAUGUAAUAGUGUUUUGUAAUGGGAAAGUCAAAAUCUGUCAAACUGUUAAUGGAAACACCUUUACCUAGAAAUAUAUGCCUAAGUAUAAAAUACAUAUGUAUGUAUUCACACAUACACAUUCAUAUGACUGCCUAUAUGUGUGUGUGUGUGUUUCUGUUACAAUAAACUGUUGUCCUGGG